rnacentral:rRNA from 1 species
AUUGAACGCUGGCGGCAUGCUUUACACAUGCAAGUCGAACGGUAACAGGUUAAGCUGACGAGUGGCGAACGGGUGAGUAAUGCAUCGGAACGUGCCCGAUCGUGGGGGAUAACGCAGCGAAAGCUGCGCUAAUACCGCAUACGAUCUGAGGAUGAAAGCGGGGGACCGUAAGGCCUCGCGCGAUCGGAGCGGCCGAUGUCAGAUUAGGUAGUUGGUGGGGUAGAGGCUCACCAAGCCGACGAUCUGGAGCGGGUCUGAGAGGACGAACAGCCACACUGGGACUGAGACACGGCCCAGACUCCUACGGGAGGCAGCAGUGGGGAAUUUUGGACAAUGGGCGAAAGCCUGAUCCAGCAAUGCCGCGUGCAGGAAGAAGGCCUUCGGGUUGUAAACUGCUUGUGUACGGAGCGAAAAGGCUCUCUCUAAUACAGGGGGCUCAUGACGGUACCGUAAGAAUAAGCACCGGCUAACUACGUGCCAGCCGCCGCGGUAA